rfam:Myotis davidii contig215762, whole genome shotgun sequence.
UCAAAGGCUCUUUUCAGAGCCGCCCACCUUUAGAAAGGCACCGUAU